UACGGGGGGGGUAAGCGUUGUUCGGAAUUACUGGGCGUAAAGGGCUCGUAGGCGGCCAACUAAGUCAGACGUGAAAUCCCUCAGCUUAACCGGGGAACUGCGUCUGAUACUGGAUGGCUUGAGUUUGGGAGAGGGAUGCGGAAUUCCAGGUGUAGCGGUGAAAUGCGCAGAUAUCGGGAGGAACACCCGUAGCGAAGGCGGCACUCUGGGCCGGAACUGACGCUGAGGAGCGAAAGCGUGGGGAGCAAACAGG
rnacentral:rRNA from 1 species